GACGAACGCUGGCGGCGUGCUUAACACAUGCAAGUCGAACGGAAAGGCCCUGCUUUUGUGGGGUGCUCGAGUGGCGAACGGGUGAGUAACACGUGAGUAACCUGCCCUUGACUUUGGGAUAACUUCAGGAAACUGGGGCUAAUACCGGAUAGGAGCUCCUGCUGCAUGGUGGGGGUUGGAAAGUUUCGGCGGUUGGGGAUGGACUCGCGGCUUAUCAGCUUGUUGGUGGGGUAGUGGCUUACCAAGGCUUUGACGGGUAGCCGGCCUGAGAGGGUGACCGGCCCCAUUGGGACUGAGAUACGGCCCAGACCCCGACGGGAGGAAAGGGGGGGAAAUAUUGCAAAAGGGGCGGAAGCCUGAUGCAGCAACGCCGGGUGCGGGAUGACGGCCUUCGGGUUGUAAACCGCUUUCGCCUGUGACGAAGGGUGGGUGACGGUAAUGGGUAAAGAAGCACCGGCUAACUACGU
rnacentral:rRNA from 1 species